CUUCUAUUCCAAGUGCUUCAGGAAUCGAUAUCUUCUUCCUCAAUAAUUGAUUUUUUGUUUGCAGACUUGAGAUCUGUGAGAUCAUCAAAUUUAGCCAAAUUGAGCUCCAUUCGGGAGCACUGAUCUUGGAGCUCCCUAAAAAGCACUAGUCUUAGAGUUCUAAGGAAAAAGAGCAUUAAAUUGGCACUCCUAAGAUCUAGUGCUCUCUUGGGGAGUUCGGUUGAAUAUGGUAUUCCAUGGUCAGAUCCGACCGCAAG